UUGGAGUUGCCUUAGUGUAUUGGAGAUGCAGAUCGCGCCUCAGCAAAUGCGUGAGCGCAGUGUAUAAUUAUUUGGAAGAGGGCGGCGAGAGAGCUGCGCGGGCGCCUCUCAACGCGUACAAGAAGCCAGUGGUGAACUGCUCCCCGCUCCGCUCGUGCGCCUCCGGUGGCACCACCAACGGCAGCGCGUGCUCGGCGGCGCGGCC